CCCAGCACCGAAUCCCGCGUUCGACAUCGGACGCCGGGAAUGUGGUGUUAGGGAGGGUCCAUUAUCCCGAGGUUAUGCGGUGCGUCCAAGUCCUUCUUGAACGGGGCCACAGCCCAUAGAGGGUGCCAGGCCCGUAGUGACCGUCGCUAACCGCGGGAGGAUCUCUCCUCAGAGUCGGGUUGCUUGAGAGUGCAGCCCUAAGUGGGUGGUAAACUCCAUCUAAGGCUAAAUAUGACCACGAGACCGAUAGCGAACAAGUACCGUGAGGGAAAGUUGAAAAGCACUUUGAAGAGAGAGUUCAAGAGUACGUGAAACCGUUUAGGGGUAAACCUGAGAAACCCGAAAAGUCGAAGGGAGAAAUUCAUUCGCGUUUCGCUGCUGGCGUGAGAUGGUCGAGUGACGGAAUUCGCUUGCGUUUUCCGCGCCUUCCGUUUUUCGAUCCGGCGGCGAACGCGUGCACUUUUCUCCUGGUAGGACGUCGCGAUUCGUUGGGUGUCGGUCUAAGGCCCGCGGUGGAGCCCGUUUGGACGCUUGCGUUCCGAGCGGACCCGCGGUGUCCCGGCUGACUCGCUCGACGGUAUAAGAAAGGCUCGGGGCCGCUUUUAAAGCGUUCGACCCGCGGCAAGCGCGCAAGAUCGUCGGCUAUCGGACCUAGUGCCGGUACUGGCCUCUUGUGACUGUUGGCUGCGGUGUUCUCGAACAGACCCUCUGUUAGCCGAUCUGCGACGCUAUAGCUUUGGGUACUUUCAGGACCCGUCUUGAAACACGGACCAAGGAGUCUAGCAUGUACGCGAGUCAUUGGGAAUCACUAAACCUAAAGGCGUAAUGAAAGUAAAGGUUUGCCUUGCGCAGACCGAGGGAGGAUGGGCGGUUCGCCUUUAAAGCGGCCGCCUCGCACUCCCGGGGCGUCUCAUUCUCAUCGCGAGAAGAGGCGCACCAAGAGCGUACACGCUGGGACCCGAAAGAUGGUGAACUAUGCCUGGUC
rnacentral:rRNA from 1 species